rnacentral:lncRNA from 1 species
UAACAAGUUUUCCAUAUUCUUAACUCUUUCGCGCAACUCUUCAUUUUCAGAUACACAAACCUUCGAUUUUUUAGAAUGAGGAAUCUUGCCCAUACAUCGCACACGUUCGUUUUUAUCAGGUCCUUGUACUUGAUAAAAUAUGUCAUCCUUCCAAGACAUAGAACCUUGUGUGUCUUGGGUUGAUUGAGAAGUUUCAGCCUCAUUAUUAUGUUUUUUUAGUUCUUC